rnacentral:rRNA from 1 species
GCCUAACACAUGCAAGUCGAGCGGUAGCACAGAGAGCUUGCUCUCGGGUGACGAGCGGCGGACGGGUGAGUUAUGUCUGGGAAACUGCCUGAUGGAGGGGGAUAACUACUGGAAACGGUAGCUAAUACCGCAUAAUGUCGCAAGACCAAAGUGGGGGACCUUCGGGCCUCAUGCCAUCAGAUGUGCCCAGAUGGGAUUAGCUUGUAGGUGGGGUAACGGCUCACCUAGGCGACGAUCCCUAGCUGGUCUGAGAGGAUGACCAGCCACACUGGAACUGAGACACGGUCCAGACUCCUAC